GAUAAACCUUGGAUAUGGGAAUGGUGUAUUAUUGGAGCAUUGGAUUAGCAGUAAGGGAACAAGGAUCUUGGAGUAGCACAACUCGUGUUUCCUUUAGGUUAAAUGAUAUAGCUACUUGGCUUCUAGGAUGGAGAUAACUUUGGCACUUGGAUUUGUGAUGUUUUGAUCUAAGCUUAGUAGCUUGCAUGUGCCCCAUAUGGAUAUAAUCAUGAAUACGAUACAUGUGGAUCAGAGUUGUUAGACAUAGGUGAUUUUGGUGUCCCUCCCCAAGAAUGUUAUGAGUACAAAGAUCAUCAUGGGAGGAUGGUUUGGAUUAAUUCGAAGGAAAGGUAACUGAACCUGUUUGCAAAGCCGACAAACCUGAUAGUCUAAAGACACACCUCUAGAGGCACAUGCAAGAAGGCCACAUCGAACUAAGGAUGACAGACGAGAGCCACAUGAGUGACCAAGACGAUGGAUGAUGCCGCAAAGAGUUGGUAGACGAGGAGAGGCGGAGAGACUGGCGACGGUGUCAUCAGAGGGAAGGUGAAUCCAGUCAAGCUCAUAGAGGGCCUGGUAGUUAUAGCGCCGAGGGCCCGCAACAAGUAAAGCAUCUGUGUGAGGAUCCUAAUCAAAACAAGAGUUAAAGUCAAGAAUGACCAUACAACCAGAGUCGACAAACUAACCACCUGAAAUGAGUUGCACGGGUCGAGGAACAUGAGCAAAACUAGGAACAUGAAAAGACGAAGUGCUAAGAGUGCCUCGACGGUCGACUGGGAGGGAAGUUCCUAAGAACACGAACAUGAGAAUCUGGAGGUCGAAUGGCCGACAAACUGGAAGAAUCAGACGAAGAAGCACCAGGCGGAUGAAACUAGAAGUGGGUGUCGAAGUCGUGCAAUUUUUGUUCCUCUUCGAUCUUGCUUGGCGUCCUUCCCUUGUAUGCGGGUUACGUGUCACGGACUUGAUGUCGCAUCCUACGUUCCCUUGUUGGGGGCCCUUGGCCCCAGCGACAGGUAGCGUCGUGCACACAUCAUGUGGAUUAGACAUUGCGGUGCCGACUGCCCCUGCUCUUGCUCUGCCGUUAGGUGGUGCUCGAGCGUUCGGCUAUGGCGGCGCCCAGCAGGGGAAGCCGGGUUGUGGGAUCGAAGCAGCACACAAAGCAACCCGUAGCCAAGCAAAGGAUGCCCAACUGGACUGGCAUGGAGCAGAGAGUGCACGAGAGGUGUGGGCGAAGCGGUUUAACUGUCGUCGGGAGUGGACUGCUGCCGCCGUCGUCAUAUUUUGAACCUAGAGUUGAGCGGUGAGGGGAUGAUGAAAGGGGAAGCGAGGAGGCAUGAAGAGAGCACUUGGAGGAGAAAGGCAUCGUACACCCUAUGCCCGUGCGUCAGUCGCGAUUGGUGGACGGUUGUGGGCAUAUCCGAUGUUUGCACGUGGAUCUGCUACUCGGGAUGGCGUGACAUGGUCGUUGCGGAGUGAGGUGCCAAAGCUAUUUUGUUGUGUGGAUGAGUUUGGGGAGAUAGAAGUCGUGUUGCAGUCUAGUCUAGGCCUUCAACUGUACCAAGUGCAACUUAUUUAGAGUUUCUGCUCUCUCAAGCUUAAGCCUUUUUCUGAACCAAAUCUAGUCCAAGACACCCAACCUAGCUAUAAAAGUUCUGAUAGCAUGGACUUACAUCGAUGUGCUUAACUUGUGGAAUUGUAAGAGCAUCGCUUAAGCACCACCAACUUUUGCCUAGAAUAAAGCCCAACAUGAGAUUAUGUGAGUUAAUCAUUUUACAUCCUUAAGCCCCAACAUGCGCCAAGUUGGGUGGUGCCGUACGGAAGUUGUUUUGAGGAGCUAUGAUUGGAGUCUGGUGGUGAUGUAGAAGUGAUAUUCAGGAGACAGUCAAAGAUUUUUGGUGGAUUAUGAGAUUUUAGGUCUAGUUGAGCAUGGUGAUUAUUAUAUUGGUGGAUAAAUAGAUCUUUAAUUAAUCUGGGAACAGUUUGGAUUUAGUUAGGUGAUUGUGAUCUUGAACCAAAUUUCACGAUGGAUAAAUAACUUCAGUAGUACAUAUAAGGAUCCAUAGUCCGUCAAUAGAACUUUGUGGUUUAUAUUGGAUUUAGAUAACAGUGAAUUUGGGGUUUAUUUAAAUCAUGGUUAUGAUGUUGGUGGAUUGCUUUGUGUUAAAUUCACACUUUUGGAGAUUAAUGAAGUUUGAGAACUUUAGGGUGUAGUAUGAUAAACCUUGGAUAUAUAUCGGAUUCAUAUAGGUUAGAUGAGAGUUUGCAGCAUCAUUCAUGAUUAUGGUAAUUGGUGGAUUAUUGGAGCAUCUGGGAUUGGAUUAGUAGUAAGGAAACAAGGAUUUUGAAGUAACACAACUUUUGUUUCCUUUAGGCUAGAUGAGACUUAGCAACAUCAAUCAUGAUUAUGGAAAUGGUGGAUUAUUGGAGCAUUGGAUUAGCAGUAAGGGAACAAGGAUCUUGGAGUAGCACAACUCGUGUUUCCUUUAGGUUAAAUGAUAUAGCUACUUGGAUUCUAGGAUGGAGAUAACUUUGGCACUUGGAUUUGUGAUGUUUUGAUCUAAGCUUAGUAGCUUGCAUGUGCCCCAUAUGGAUAUAAUCAUGAAUACGAUACAUGUGGAUCAGAGUUGUUAGACAUAGGUGAUUUUGGUGUCCCUCCCGAAGAAUGUUAUGAGUACAAAGAUCAUCAUGGGAGGAUGGUUUGGAUUAAUUCGAAGGAGAGGUAACUGAACCUGUUUGCAAAGCCAACAAACCUGAUAGUCUAAAGACACACUUCUAGAGGCACAUGCAAGAAGGCCACAUCGAACUAAGGAUGACAGACGAGAGCCACAUGAGUGACCAAGACGAUGGAUGAUGCCACAAAGAGUUGGUAGACGAGGAGAGGCGGAGAGACUGGCGGCGGUGUCAUCAGAGGGAAGGUGAAGCCAGUCAAGCUCAUAGAGGGCCUGGUAGUUAUAGCGUCGAAGGCCCACAACAAGUAAAGCAUCUGUGUGAGGAUCCUAAUCAAAACAAGAGUUAAAGUCAAGAAUGACCAUACAACCAGGGUCGACAAACUAACCACUUGAAAUGAGUUGCACGGGUCGAGGAACAUGAGCAAAACUAGGAACAUGAAAAGACGAAGUUCUAAGAGUGCCUCGACGGUCGACUGGGAGGGAAGUUCCUAAGAACAUGAACAUGAGAAUCUGGAGGUCGAAUGGCCGACAAACUGGAAGAAUCAGAUGAAGAAGCACCAGGCGAUGAAACUAGAAGUGGGUGUCGAAGUCGUGCAAUUUUUGUUCCUCGUCGAUCUUGCUUGGCGUCCUUCCCUUGUAUGCGGGUUACGUGUCACGGACUUGAUGUCGCAUCCUACGGUCCCUUGUUGGGGGCCCUUGGCCCCGGCGACAGGUAGCGUCGUGCACACAUCAUGUGGAUUAGACAUUGCGGUGCCGACUGCUCCUGCUCUUGCUCUGCCGUUAGGUGGUGCUCGAGCGUUCGGCUAUGGCGGCGCCCAGCAGGGGAAGCCGGGUUGUGGGAUCGAGGCAGCACACAAAGCAACCCGUAGCCAAGCAAAGGAUGCCCAACUGGACUGGCAUGGAGCAGAGAGUGCACGAGGGGUGUGGGCGAAGCGGUUUAACUGUCGUCGGGAGUGGACUGCUGCCGUCGUCGUCAGAUUUUGAACCUAGAGUUGAGCGGUGAGGGGAUGAUGAUAGGGGAAGCGAGGAGGCUUGAAGAGGGCACUUGGAGGAGAAAGGCAUCGUACACCCUAUGCCCGUGCUACAGCCGCGAUUGGUGGACGGUUGUGGGCAUAUCCGAUGUCUGCACGUGGAUCUGCUACUCGGGAUGGCGUGACAUGGUCGUUGUGGAGUGAGGUGCCAAAGCUAUGUUGUUGUGUGGAUGAGUUUGGGGAGAUAGAAGUCGUGUUGCAGUCUAGUCUAGGCCUUCAACUGUACCAAGUGCAACUUAUUUAGAGUUUCUGCUCUCUCAAGCUUAAGCCUUUCUCUGAACCAAAUCUAGUCCAAGACACCCAACCUAGCUAUAAAAGUUCUGAUAGCAUGGACUUACAUCGAUGUGCUUAACUUGUGGAAUUGUAAGAGCAUCGCUUAAGCACCAACAACUUUUGCCUAGAAUAAAGCCCAACAUGAGAUUGUGUGAGUUAAUCAUUUUACAUCCUUAAGCCCCAACAUGCGCCAAGUUGGGUGGUGCCGUACGGAAGUUGUUUUGAGGAGCUAUGAUUGGAGUCUGGUGGUGAUGUAGAAGUGAUAUUCAGGAGAUUGUCAAAGAUUUUUGGUGGAUUAUGAGAUUUUAGGUCUAGUUGAGCAUGGUGAUUAUUAUAUUGGUGGAUAAACAGAUCUUUAAUUAAUUUGGGAACAAUUUGGAUUUAGGUAGGUGAUUGUGAUCUUGAACCAAAUUUCACGAUGGAUAAAUAACUUCAGUAGUACAUAUAAGGAUCCAUAGUCCGUCAAUAGAACUUUGUGGUUUAUAUUGGAUUUUGAUAACAAUGAAUUUGGGGUUUAUUUAAAUCAUUGUUAUGAUGUUGGUGGACUGCUUUGUGUUAAAUUCACACUUUUGGAGAUUAAUGAAGUUUGAGAACUUUAGGGUGUAGUAUGAUAAACCUUGGAUAUAUAUCGGAUUCAUAUAGGUUAGAUGAGAGUUUGCAGCAUCAAUCAUGAUUAUGAUAAUUGGUGAAUUAUUGGAGCAUCUGGGAUUGGAUUAGUAGUAAGGAAACAAGGAUUUUGAAGUAACACAACUUUUGUUUCCUUUAGGCUAGAUGAGACUUAGCAACAUCAAUCAUGAUUAUGGAAAUGGUGGAUUAUUGGAGCAUUGGAUUAGCAGUAAGGGAACAAGGAUCUUGGAGUAGCACAACUCGUGUUUCCUUUAGGUUAAAUGAUAUAGCUACUUGGAUUCUAGGAUGGAGAUAACUUUGGCACUUGGAUUUGUGAUGUUUUGAUCUAAGCUUAGUAGCUUGCAUGUGCCCCAUAUGGAUAUAAUCAUGAAUACGAUACAUGUGGAUCAGAGUUGUUAGACAUAGGUGAUUUUGGUGUCCCUCCCGAAGAAUGUUAUGAGUACAAAGAUCAUCAUGGGAGGAUGGUUUGGAUUAAUUCGAAGGAAAGGUAACCGGACCUGUUUGCAAAGCCGACAAACUUGAUAGUCUAAAGACACACCUCUAGAGGCACAUGCAAGAAGGCCACAUUGAACUAAGGAUGACAGACGAGAGCCACAUGAGUGACCAAGACGAUGGAUGAUGCCACAAAGAGUUGGUAGACGAGGAGAGGCGGAGAGACUGGCGACGGUGUCAUUAGAAGGAAGGUGAAGCCAGUCAAGCUCAUAGAGGGCCUGGUAGCUAUAGCGCCGAGGGCCCACAACAAGUAAAGCAUCUGUGUGAGGAUCCUAAUCAAAACAAGAGUUAAAGUCAAGAAUGACCAUACAACCAGAGUCGACAAACUAACCACCUGAAAUGAGUUGCACGGGUCGAGGAACAUGAGCAAAACUAGGAACAUGAAAAGACGAAGUGCUAAGAGUGCCUCGACGGUCGACUGGGAGGGAAGUUCCUUAGAGCCAUCAAGGAUUAGAAUCCGUAACCAACUGGAAGGCCAAGCAAAUGUGAAGUCAGAAGUUCCAUCGGACUCAAGAGUUAUUAUCGCAAAUUUGUGAAGACUUUCAAGCAUCACCGAUGACUUAACUCUUGAACAAAGAUAAGAAGUUUGAAUGAAGGCCCAAGUGUGAAGUGAGCUUUUGAAAGUUUAAGAAGAGGUUAACCACUGAUCCGUCCAUAGCCACCCUAGAUAUUUAUACGAGUUUUGAAGUUAUUGUGAUGCAUCUAAUCAUGGACUUCGUUCCGUCUUGAUGCAAGAAGGAAUCUUCGUAGCCUUCAAGGCAACUACGUCCUCAUGAAUAGAACUGCCCUACCCAUGAUUUGAAAAUAGCGGUAGUAGUGCAUGCUUUAAGUAUGUCUUCUUCUAGAUGGGAAGAUUUGAUCAACCACUAUGACGUUGAUAUCCAUUACCAUCCUGAUAAGGCCGAUGUCGCAGUGGAUACCCUCAGCAGGAAGUCGUGUCCCUGUUCUGCCUUGACCAUGCAGAGCAACUAGUGCUACAUGAAGGCUUCGAGAAGUUUGGUGUAGACUUGAUCAACCACUAUGACGUUGAUAUCCAUUACCACCCUGAUAAGGCCAAUGUCGCAGUGGAUACUCUCAGCAGGAAGUCGUGUCCCUGUUCUGCCUUGACCAAGCGAAGCAAUUAGUGUUACAUGAAGGCUUCGAGAAGUUUGGUGUAGAGCUAGUCAAUAGUGUCUAUCUCGCUAACUUCGAGAUUACACCCACUCUUAGGAUGAAUCAAGAAGUAUAUAAGAAAUCAAUUAAAGCAUGGGAAAGCCUUGCAUUCUCAGAAGACAAGCAAUAUGUUCUUUGGUUUGGAGGUCGCAUCUGCAUACCUAAGCAAGAAGGUUUGAAGAGGUGGAAUCUACAAGCAGCUCGGGACACCCCUUUAUUCCAUCCACCUAGGGAGUACCAAGUUAUACCAGGACCUCAAGAAGUUGAUGAUGGAAUGGAAUGGAGUUAGAUAUAGCCGCCCUUUUGUUACCAACGUCUCAGGAUGCAAGCGCGGCGGGUUGUAGCUAGCCUGCACUUGCUUAAGUGGGCUCUCCUGGUUUAUGCGGAUUGAUGUGGUGGUUUGCACAACCCCACGCUAGUUAUUGCGUGUUAAUGUGUCAUCCCGCAUACACCGCAUGCAACCAGUUCGUGUAAUUUGGUGGGCUGACUUCAGACGCAACUGAACUAAUGCAUGCAGCUCCUAACAUUUGAGGUUUGCUCAGCCACAAUCCAGGUUUGCUCUGCUCCAGAUGUUUUGGUCGAACAAUGCCACUAUCGCGAAGACCGUCAACCAAACGACAGCGUGGACGAAGGUUGAGCGGCACGCCGUCAUCGAACCAGAGACCCCAGCGCAUCGUGUGGCGCUCUUGUUGUCUCAAAAGAAGCUGAGUGUGAAGCAUGGCUGCAUGAGUUUUUUCUAGAACAAGGAGUAGGUUUCGCUUCUUUGCGGAAUGUGCGACAGCCCGUCGGGCAACGCGGUCAUACUCGCAUGAACCCACAUGCACAAAGCUGUUGCCUGCGGGAGAAUUAGCUAGAUUUUUUUGCGGGGUGGACUAGCGGCUUAGCUGGCAGUACUAUCCCACUUGCACCCUUACCAAUGUCAAAUUAAGGCCAUAACUCUAUCAGGGUCAUAAUUGACCAUUACCUAAGCUUGCCAUCCUCAACCCAUUACUUAACACCAAAAACAUUUGCAAGCCAACUAGCAGAUAAGUACCUCUUCCAGAUUUGGAGUCUCCACAAAGUUCCCAAGAAGGUUGUUGCAGAUAAAGGUACAAAGUUAACCUCCAAACCUGUAAGAGAUUCCAAGAAGCUUUUAAAAUAAAGUCAUCCAUCAAACGGGGCCUCUGCAAAGAAAACCACACAUCGACCCCCACCCCUAACUAACUUACUGCGAGAUCUCAAUUCUUGUCCUUGCUAAAGCUAUAUGUCAGAAGUUAUGUCAUCGAGUGCCUCGGUUCAGUGAAGCAGUCUCAUCGAAGAGCAAGCAACUUGAAGUGAAGACUGUCGCUGAGCGAUCUUUCUAAGCAACCUCACCCAGUGUUUUGUAUUACAUCACUUAAGAUAAUAUAGAUCAAAAUUUUGGACCCAACUUUUAAAAUAUCGAUCAUGGGGGAGCAUAUACCAUCAAGUGGACACUAUACUAGCAUCAUUCUUAAGGAAAGUUUUGUCCGAUUGUUCAAACUGUAUACGCCUGACACCAAAAUGCAUUCAAGAUGCAAAGGCCGACAUCUUUAACUGUACCAAGUGCAACUUAGUCAGAGUUUCUCCUCACUCAAGCUUAAGCCUUUCUCUAAACCAAACCUAGCCCAAGAAAACCCAACCUAGCUAUCAAGGUUGUGAUAGGAUAGACUUAUAUCAAUGUGCUUAACUUGCGGAAUUGCAAGAGCACCGCUUAAGCAUCAGCAACUAUUGCCUGAAAUAAAGCCCAACAUGAGAUAGUGAUUGUAUGAGUCAAUCAUGUUACAUCCUUAAGCCCGCAACACACACCUAGUUGGGUGGUGUCAUACUUAAGUUGUUUUGAGGAGUUAUGAUUGGAAAAUGAGAUAGUUUGUUGGUAAUGUAGAUGUGAUCUUGAGAAGAUAGUCAAAGAUGUUCGGUGGAUUUUGAGAUUUUAGGUAUAGUAGGUGAGCAUGGUGAUUAUUAUAUUUGUGAAUAACAAUAUAAUUAAUUAAUCUUGAAACAAUUUGGAUUUAGUUAGGCGAUUGUGAAUUUGUGAUUUUGAACCAAAUUUCAUGGUGGAUUACGAGAUUUAGUUGGAUUUAGUUAGGUGAUUGGGAUCUCGAGAAGAUAGUCAAACUUGUUCUGUGGAUUAUGAGAUAUUAGGUCUAAUAGGUGAGCAUGAUGAGUAUUAUAUCGGUGGAUAAAAAGAUCUUGAAUUAAUCUUUGAACAAUUUGGAUUUAGUUUGUGAGAUUGUGAUCUUGGACCAAAUUUCAUGGAGAAUUAUGAGAUUUUAGGUGGAUUUAAUUUGGUGAUUGUGAUCUUCAGAAGAUAGUCAAAGAUGUUUAGUGGAUAAUAAAAUUUUAGGUCUAGUAGGCAAGGAUGAUGAUUAUUAUAUUAGUGGAUAAAUAGAUCUUCAAUUAGUCUUGGACAAUUUGGAUUUAGUUAGGUGAUUAUGAUUUUGACCCAAAUUUCACGUUAGAUUAUGAGAUUUCAGGUGAAUUUUAGUUGAUAUGACUUUUGAGGAGGCAGUCAAAGAUGUUUGGUGGAUUAUGAGAUUUUAGGUUUAGUAGGUGAGCAUGAUGAUUAUUGCAUUGGUGCAUAAAUAGAUCUUUAAUUAAUCUUGGAACAAUUUGGGCUGAGUAUGCAUGCUUUGAAGAUUCAUGGGAUAGAACAUACCCCGUAUCAACACUAUUCCAGAAAGACCGCCACACUUUGGCCCAUGACUUUAAGCAGUAUGAAGUGCUGAAACAGAACCCAUUCUGGUGUGACAUGAUGGAAAGCUAUGGAGUCUGAACAACUACAGAACUGACGUCAUCCAAGCACUGGGUGGUGUGGAAGGUAUCCUGGAACAUACCUUAUUUAAGGGAACAUACUACUGUAUUUCCCUACUUGGGAGGGUUUGUUUUGGGAGAAGGCUUCAGGUUUUGAGGAAUCAAUCAAGUACAAAAAGCUGACAAAUGCACAGCGUUCUGGGCUUAAUCAAAUCCACAGCAGAAGAUUUACCCUCUGGUGGUCGCCAACCAUGCAUUAAUCGUGCACACGUAUAUGUUGGUUUCCACUUUUCAGGUUCAGCUAGAAUAUUAACUGGUUCCUUGGCCCGGGUCAAAGCCCCUCCUCCAGCAAGCAAUGAACAAGAUCAUGAAGUCAAAUCCUGCUCUGUAUGUGCUGAGGGAGAGAAUAAGAAAGGGUCUUCAGUUGUAUUCAUCUGAACCCACCGAGCCAUAUGUGUCUUCACAGAACUACGGAGAGAUAUUCAGCAAUCAAAUCAUACGGCUUGUGGAUGACAUAAAUGUCUAUCGAGAUACCAUUCACAAAACCUUCGAGGGUAACCUGACGACCAAACCAAUCAAUGGCGCCAUCUUUAUUUUCAAUCCAAGAACUGGUCAACCAACUAUUUCUGAAGGUCAUCCCCACAAGUGUAUGGGCAGGACAAAAGCGUCUAGUUUCUCUGCAUAGUAAUCGCUCCAGUUUUCCUCAUUCUUAGAUUUAACUGAAUUUGCAUAGCCAUUCCGCCAUAGCAUGGAACUCACCGGCCAGAUGGUGACUUUGCCAGCGAAGAAUCUCCCAGAGCAUGAGUUCCUUGCUGAUAUGGAGCCACUGGGAUCCAGUUGAAUGAAGCUCCUCAGCUAUCACCUCAGAUUUGUCUCACUACCAUUUUCUAUCUUCAAAUCCAACCUUGUGAUUCUUAUCCAAAAUAAAAAUUAUAUAAGUAGCUGAAUUUCAGUGCACAAUUCUGUAAUGCCUGAUCAAGCAGAUUUAUGUCUUUCCAUGAGCGGCUAACUGUCUCUCCAGGGGAAUUCUGAAUGUGAAUAUUGAAAUGCAUUCUAUACAAAAUUCAAUCUUUCCAACUCACACUGCACUGUACAUACAAAUUUAUUACUGUUGCUUCUUUUGUUUCUUGCACAUUUUACAAGUUUUUUUUUGCCUGGGAUAGUUUCAGUGCCGAAAUUGAUUCUGUUGUUUUUGGCAAAUUCUGGUAAAUUUUUUUUGCCUGUGAUCCAGUGUCGCUACUGAUGUUAUUUCUUUCUUGCCACAUUCUGUUACGUUGUGCUUUUUUUGGGUAUGAUCCAGAGUCUCAUAUACUGAACUGUUUGUUCUGUUGUUCCUUUGCAGGAUUUGACAUGACAUGCUAAUAUUUUGGAGAAAAACAAGCAGUGGGAUGGUAAGAAGUGCAUCAUUUUGACCUGUCGGCGAACAUCUUGGGUCAGUGGUUAUGUUUGGGAGAAGAAGAAAACCUAUCAUGAUUUCUUUUUAGCUGGAUUAAGUUUACUAUGUCAGUGUUUGGUUACAUAUUUCUGUCAGUCAGUUCUGUGCCUGAGACCAAAUCAGUUGUUCUGGGCCUGGUCAAACCGCUAUUGCUUGAGCCAGGUCUGGGAUGGUGAUGCCUUGAAGAGUGUGGUCAAAGCAAGCCAGGACAUCACUCUCAUGGCCACGUAAUCACCACCCCCACGCCCAUCAUUUGAUCAUCAAUGAAACACUGCAGCAUCAGCAUUAAUUUUAACCAUCUUGGCACUGACGAUGAUGCCUCACACCUAGAGAAACCGGGAAAUAAGAAUUAUAUCAGUAAGUGUAACUGUCCCUUGAGAACUUGGAAAAGGUGAUCAUACUAAGAAUUAUAUCAGUAAGUGUAACCGUCCUGAAGAUGAUAAGCGUUGCACUGCCCCUCAGCUAUUGUUUCUGUUUCCAUGGAGCAUUGGUCAUAUAAUAUUUGGAGACCUGACGUCACCGGCACGUCUCAUAUGAUUGGAUAUUCUCAUGGCCGUGCGCCAAGCCUGUGUGUGAACAGAACAUUUGUCUGACCAUCUCGCUUCGCUUGCUCAGAGACACGGAUAUUCUCAUGGUCAUGCAGUCAGGCCACCAACGGCAGGGAGUGUGAACAUUUGUCUUUAGACCAGUAUGAACUACUCGGAUAGAUGGCUGCAUGGUAGUGCUGGAUACUCUGGAAAAAGGAGGCACCUGCUUGGCGAGAAGCUAGCGCCUAUGGCGAAAGUCUAAAUUCAGAAUAUAUGACUGGACUACUUGAGGCAUUAUCAUAGUUUUUUACUGGCAGUAGUUCAACAAUUUACAGCUAGCAUUUUAAGAAAGAGUAUUUGUAUGUCUGCAUCUUCAGCCCUGUUUCUUCUGUUUUAUGUCAAUGCAAGAUCUUACAAUUUUAAAUGAGGCAAUUGACGCAUACUUCCGAUUUCCUUAAGGAGGUAUGCAAAAUUUGUCAUGUCCAAGUUGAAAUGAAACAAUGCCUUUCACUUA